AGCUCGAGAGAAAAGCGGAGAAGGGAAGACAUCAUUUCUCUCUGUGUCUGCGGGGCUAAACGCACACGAAGGCAACGAGACGGAGGGGGAAAAAAUAAAGUCUUUUUCAACAGGAUUAUAUUUAUAUAAAAUACUUCACAGAAACUAGCCAUGGCCGAUACAGCUGUUGAUACAACCGCCACCACAGAGGUUACAGCCAAGGAGCUGAAGGAGAAGAAAGAAGCCGAAGCGGAGGAGGAGAAGGAGAAGACGACCGACAGCGGGGAGGCACCUGCCAAUGGCACAAAUGGUGCUGAGCAUAGUGACAAAAAGGAAGAAACUACAGAGGAGGAGGAGGAGAAGAAGAAUGGAGCUGAAAAUGCGGAGGCGGCGCCCCCUGCUGAGGAGACUGAUGCACAGCCUGUAAAGCGUGCAGCUGAAGAGGAGGAGGACAAAGCUGAGACAAAAAAGCAGAAGACAGAGGAGAAUGGGGAUUCGAAAGAGGCAGACGUGGAGGCCUAAGUCUUUACCCUGCUACUCGUUCGCGGCACUGUCCACCAGCCUGGUCAACAUGGCUUCAUAGAGCUUGUGCUUUCAAUGUUUUCGAUAAGAGAUUUUUCCUUUUUUUUUUGCGCGCGCUCCCAUGUUUUUCCACAUUGCACUGGAGUCUUUUGAGAUGUAGUGGCCCUGCAUACUUCUUUUUUAUGAAAUGUUAUUUAUUGGUCUUGAAAAUGAGCUUUUUUUCUACUUGUUCGAGUCGGGCCACGCCACAAGAUCAGUUUUCUUUUUCAUUUCCUGACGUUUCACAUCAAUAUGUUUUUUUUUUUUUUGAAGCACAAUCUCUAUGCAAGUGUUGACCAGGUGAUUCAUACAUACAGGCAGCUGCUCACCCUCAAGGCUCAUGUUGACCUCUCAGAUACACUUAAAAAGGACCAAAGAUAAGCUUUAAGCAGGGGAUAAUAGACAGUUGUUGGCUUUGUUAGCUGAGGUGUCAAUUUUUGUGUUAAGCUGCUACUUAAAAUCCUGCCUGCCCUGUUAACAUGACAGAUGGUGCAAAUGAGUAAAAGGGGCCGUCUCUUACACCUCCACUGAUUGUGUAACCAUUUUUUUUUUCUGUGGAGGCAGGAGUUUGCAAUGUUAAUUAACCCCUCUUAAAUCUUAAAGCUUUGGUCAUUCGUUCUGUAUGCAUUCCACGCAAGUUUGUACCAUUUAUACUUCUUUUUUUUUUUUUUCUCCCUUGCAUUUUCAACGAGUUUUAUGUUUUGGUUGAGUAGCCCACUUCUGUGUAGACCGCCUUUUUCAUAACCAGAAUGGCAUUUGGUUACUUCAGCCACUGCUUUGUAUAUUCUGAUUAAGAAAUAAAUUUGUCUUUUUACUUAA